rnacentral:snoRNA from 1 species
CUAACACACAUACCCUGGUAGGUAAGUAGUGCCAGGCUAUGUCCAAGUGUCAUGGAGGAGCCUAGGACUCCGCCCUAUUGGUGUAUAAUCCUUUUCCACAAUGUUGGAGAUGAACCUGGGCUUUGUGUCCGCGCCUAGGUAUUAACUACAACUUCUCAGAGUUCUGUAUACAGUGACUGAGAGGAUAAACCAUGCAGGAAACAAUG